rnacentral:snoRNA from 1 species
CAGCUGUGAUGAAUUUUAUUCCAAUCAUUCGCAGUUUCCACCAUAAAGACAUCUUGUCUUAAUGAUGGCUGAAGAUCCUUCCUUGGAUGUCUGAGCUG